GUUGGCGGCGUGCUUAACACAUGCAAGUCGAACGAGAACGUCCCGGCUUGCCGGGAUUAGUAAAGUGGCGCACGGGUGAGUAACACGUGAGUAAUUUCCCUCUAAGCUUGGGAUAACAUUGCGAAAGCAGUGCUAAUACCAAAUAAGACCACGGUAUCAUAUGAUACAGUGGGAAAAGGUGGCCUCUGAAUAUGCUAUCACUUGGAGAUAAGCUCGCGGACCAUUAGCUUGUUGGUAGGGUAACGGCCUACCAAGGCGAAGAUGGUUAGCUGGUCUGAGAGGAUGAUCAGCCACACUGGAACUGAGACACGGUCCAGACUCCUACGGGAGGCAGCAGUGGGGAAUAUUGCGCAAUGGGGGAAACCCUGACGCAGUGACGCCGUGUGAGUGAUGAAGGUCUCCGGAUCGUAAAGCUCUGUCAGAUGGGAAGAAUAAAGGCAGGGAAAAUAUUUCUGCCUGAUGACGGUACCAUCAGAGGAAGCACCGGCUAACUCCGUGCCAGCAGCCGCGGUAAUACGGAGGGUGCAAACGUUGUUCGGAAUUACUGGGCGUAAAGCGCAUGUAGGCGGAUAUGUAGGUCAGAUGUGAAAGCCCUUGGCUCAACCAAGGAAGUGCAUCUGAAACCACAUAUCUUGAGUAUGACAGAGGGAAGUGGAAUUCCCAGUGUAGAGGUGAAAUUCAUAGAUAUUG
rnacentral:rRNA from 1 species